rnacentral:rRNA from 1 species
AUAAGCGGAGGAAAAGAAAUUAACCAGGAUUCCCUUAGUAACGGCGAGUGAAGAGGGAAAAGCCCAAAUUUGUAAUCUGGCUCUUUUUUAUAAGGGUCCGAGUUGUAAUUUUGAGAACUGUUAUCUGUGGUGGACCAUGUACAAGUCUGUUGGAAAACAGCAUCAUUGAAGGUGAAAAUCCUGUAGAUGAUAUGGACUACCAGGGCAAUAUGAUACAGUCUCUAAGAGUCGAGUUGUUUGGGAAUGCAGCUCAAAGUGGGUGGUAAAUUCCAUCUAAGGCUAAAUACAGGUGAGAGACCGAUAGCAAACAAGUACCGUGAGGGAAAGAUGAAAAGAACUCUGGAAAGAGAGUUAACAGUACGUGAAAUUGUUAAAAGGGAAACAUUUGAAGUUAGACUUGUUAUUGUUGGAUCAGCUUCUUUAUUGAGGUGUAUUCUGAUGAUUAACAGACCAGCAUCAAUUUUUGGGUGUUUGAUAAGGGUUUUGGGAAUGUGGCAGCUUUGGUUGUGUUAUAGACCAUUACUUUGAUAAAAUGCCUAGGAUUGAGGAACGCAGUAAGCUUUGUUGCAGAUUUUUUUGGAAGUCCCCUUACUACGGAUGGUGGUGCAAUAACUUUAAAUGACCCGUUC